UACGGAGGGAGCUAGCGUUGUUCGGAAUUACUGGGCGUAAAGCGCGCGUAGGCGGUUACUCAAGUCAGAGGUGAAAGCCCGGAGCUCAACUCCGGAACUGCCUUUGAAACUAGGUGACUAGAAUCUUGGAGAGGCGAGUGGAAUUCCGAGUGUAGAGGUGAAAUUCGUAGAUAUUGGGAAGAACACCGGUGGCGAAGGCGGCUCACUGGCCCGUAACUGACGCUCAGGCGCGAUAGCGUGGGGAUCAAACAGG
rnacentral:rRNA from 1 species